rnacentral:lncRNA from 1 species
AGGACAGUUGCAAAAAGAAAAAAAAAAAACAAACCACCAAACAAAAACAAACAAAGAAAAAAAAAGACACAAAACCAGAUCACACACAGAGAGACAAAAAUCCACGCGGAAAAAGAACCUGUUGCGUUUCCAGUUCCCCUGCCGUCGGAGGGCGGUGCGGGCACGUCUCUCGGCGGGCGGGCACAGCGCUGCGCGCCGCGGGGGCGGUCGGGGCGGUCGCCCCCGGCCCCGGAGACCGGCCGGCCUUUGCACUCCGUCGCACUGCCACGGACUGCGCCCCGGCGGAGCGGCCGGCCGGCGGAGGAGCUGGGAAAGGGCGCUGCGCUCCUCAGCCGGCGGAGGAGCUCUUCUUCCUCUUCCUCCUUCCUCCUCCUCAGGAGAAAGGCGGCCCAUCUCCGCACCUCGCUGCCGCCGCGGCCCUUCAGAGACUGGCGUUCAUCACCUGUGGACAGUUAGUUUCCCGAUGUCUGUGGAGAUGCUGAAGUUAAGCUAUGCUGUACUCAAAGAAGUCCCUGGAGCCCCGUCUACCUUCUAUCUCCCCGUGCCUCUCCCUCCCCUCAAUCCAAGCUUUUCCUCUCGUUUCCAUCAUAGAAUGCUUCCAAUCUUUUUUGUUGUUGUUGUUUUUUUGGGGGUUUUUUUUGUGAAUUUUUUUUAUGAUAAGAAAAUCUAUUUGUAUCUAUCCUAACCCCGUUGGGGAUAUAUUAAGCUAUUUUUGUACAUAAGAGAGAGAUUUAUAGAGGUUUUGUACAAAUGGUUUAAAAUGUGUAUAUCUUGAUACUUUUUUUAAUAUGUAAUGCUUAUUACCUCUUCAUGUUUAGACUCGUAGUCAACGUUACCUUACAACUGCCAUUUUUGUAUGUGGUUUUGUAAAGGACUUGGAUUUUCUCCAGAUGUACUUUAGCACCAAUGUGUCUUACUUUAUAGAAAUUUUGUUAAUGUAUUAAUAAUGUCAUUAAACAAUGUUCAAAGUGAACAAAGUUUAUGCAGCUAUUGUCCAAACGCAAAACGGUAGCCAUUUGUUCUCAUAUGCUGCCUUUUGUGAAAAAAGAAAAAAAAAAAAAAAAAAAAAAACCAGACAAGUAAACAAACAACCCCCACCACCACCACUGCCUUUUCUUACUUUUUUAUUACAAAUUGACAAAGGUCCUGUAUAACCCUAUUUUAUAUAAACUAGUUUCGUAAUAAAACUUUUUUUUAAUUAAAAUUACCAGCUGCCUCCCGCAUGCAAUUUUUUUUCUUUCUGCCAUUGACAACGAUGAAUGUAAGGACAGAAUGUUAAUCGAUGUUAUACCAGAGCUAAGUUGCAUAUGAAGUGUUUGUACCUGAUGGAUGUAACAUAUAUAUCUUUA